UAAUGGGAACGUUCAAAAUUUGACUACUCUAUGCAGGAAUAUAGCUAGCCAAAAUUUUAGCAAUAUCCAGUUUUUUCUGUGCUGCAGUUCUACAUAACUUUCAGCAACAGAAGAGCUCUUCCAUCCUCCAUGUCAUUUCAAGGAUUUUAUAUUGAGAUAAUCGACCGCUGUCAGCAUCUAAACAUUCUAAACAUAUGGUCCAUUUCAGAUAAUUGCAUUUAGUUCCAUGCAUUUUUAGUUUGGUGAAGAAAACAAACUAGAUGUGCUCGUCAACAUUAUCAAAAUGAUUAGUUUUACAUUAUUGUUAUUAUUGGAAAUUUCUUUAUUGUGUUGCUUUUGCCGCGAACCCCUAAGCAAGGACUGCGAAGUCAGAGAAGACGAAGACGAACUCGAAUACAUCCCGCACGAAUCCGGAUACCUAAUACGAAGAGGAUAUUUAUAAUAAUAUUCCGACUAUCGAUCUUCGAUAAAAUGGACUCUGAAAAAGUAAACUGUUCACCAAAAGUCUUACCAUUAUUUAAUCAUGAUACGCUUGAAUCAAAACUGGGAUAUGAUGAAAAUAUUCCUGGGAAAUCAUCCACAGUGAUUCACAAAAGCAUAUUUGGAAAAAACAGUAAAGAUUCCAAAAUAAAAAAAAGUAAAGAACAUCUUCAAGACGAAACUGAUCCAUUUCAAAAAUCCGUGAAAAAUUAUGGCACUUUGGACGCUGUGAAGGAACCGAAAAUGACGACACCCGAAAAAAAGGAAGACACAUAAGGUGAUGGACUAAAUUAGUACAAACCAUUUUCGGUUUGUAUUAGGGAAGGACGAUGGAAAAAAAGGAUAAUAGAUUAAAAGAAAAAAAGCGAAUAUCAUAAGAAACAAAAAAGCGAUUAUUAUUAUCAUUUUUAUUUGUGUAUGUAUACAAUUUUUAAUUACAUUGUGUAUGUUGAAUGUUGAAUUUUCUCGAAAUAAAAUGUGUUGAAAGUUA